CUGACAAUCACUCAUCCCUAGAUAUUCCUACUGCUGUUGUAAGAUAAUUCCAGAUUUUCAGCUGUAGACCUGGCAUGUUGAUCUCUUGGCUCAUACUAAAUAAAUAUGAUUUGCUAUGAUGGAAGAUGGAAAGGUAAACAUCCAUGAAGAGGUACAGUGUUAGCCUGAAACUGCCCUGAAGGCGUGAGUUUGGAGAUCAAGGCUCAAAGUGUUUAAAGCCAUGUGAUGAUGAUGUUGCAGCCCACUGCUGUGGUCUUUUUAUGGCAGGAAGGAAGGAAGGAUCAAAAAAGAUCAUGUUGAUCCAUGUUCACCUCUCUCAAUUGUGGAGAAGAAGCAAAUGGGGCUGCCAUGCAAGUCAAAGUCAUGGGAUGCUGUACUCCCCAGGCCCCAAACCUGCCAGAAAGGAAAAGAUCUGAACUACAGGUGAAAUUUGUCUCACUGAACUGACAGGUAGUCCAAAUCAGUUGUAUGAACUCAUUCGUAGACACUGGAGAAACACAAGCACUUCUAGCAGCUGCUCAUCUAGCCACAGAAACUUAUUUAAAGCAGAUGGGAUGAAUUGCAUUGAGCAGGUGCCCCUUUACCUCUACUGAUGAUAAAGGGCCCAGACUGAAUUUAGAACGGACAUCUAACUUUUAGCUGCUUCUUGUAGAUAAGGCAUAUGAUACUAGUGUGUGUGGGUUUGCCCCUACCCUGAUUGUUUGGAAGUGCAAUGUACAUUUUCCUGCAUGACUGACUUUGGUCUUUGUAUUUGAGCUGACAUACAAUAAAGGGCUUACAACAUCAUAAAUGCUUUUCAGUUGCUGAACCAUAAAC